UGACUUCGAGGAUGUUACGUGA
rnacentral:siRNA from 1 species